CCGUGCUAGAUGGGGAGCUAGCGGUGCCCUGUAACCUACAAUCCGCUAUAGUAGGGUUGAAUUCCCUGCCGAGGCUACACUUUGUCUGGCCAGUGUUUUUGUAAGUGGUGUUGACGGUUUGGGCCCUUCGCAAAGAGCUCUCUGCUAACCCCGUCAGGACCGGGAGGUAGCAGCGGUAACAGAGUAGUCUCUUGUGCGGGGAUUAGCCUUGCCAGAGCUAACUGCAGAGAUAACGCAGGGAAAGGAUGGUCGGAGCAAGGUGCACGG
rnacentral:SRP_RNA from 1 species